rnacentral:rRNA from 1 species
UGAACGCUGGCGGCGUGCCUAAUACAUGCAAGUCGAGCGAACAGACGAGGAGCUUGCUCCUCUGACGUUAGCGGCGGACGGGUGAGUAACACGUGGAUAACCUACCUAUAAGACUGGGAUAACUUCGGGAAACCGGAGCUAAUACCGGAUAAUAUAUUGAACCGCAUGGUUCAAUAGUGAAAGACGGUUUUGCUGUCACUUAUAGAUGGAUCCGCGCCGCAUUAGCUAGUUGGUAAGGUAACGGCUUACCAAGGCAACGAUGCGUAGCCGACCUGAGGGGGUGAUCGGCCACACUGGAACUGAGACACGGUCCAGACUCCUACGGGAGGCAGCAGUAGGGAAUCUUCCGCAAUGGGCGAAAGCCUGACGGAGCAACGCCGCGUGAGUGAUGAAGGUCUUCGGAUCGUAAAACUCUGUUAUUAGGGAAGAACAAAUGUGUAAGUAACUAUGCACGUCUUGACGGUACCUAAUCAGAAAGCCACGGCUAACUACGUG